GCCAAGUAGUGUUGCCUUUAGAUGUUGUUCAUAUACUUAUCAAAGUCAUUUUCCCCCGAGCUUUCAAUCAGAUAGCCCUGUGCUGAGCAAACAGGAGGAGACACUCCUUAAGUCCUCAAUUACAUUUCUUUUCUCCUCUUCAAUUCCAGCACAGACAAGAGGUGAUAAUACCGAAUCUUUCAAAUAUUUGAUAUACAAAGAGAAGAGCUUGUUAAAACGAGACCAAUUAAUGCAUUUUUAAUCCAUAUUUAAACACAUGCAAAGAUCCUGAAUACUAAUGCUGUCAUUUAAAUUCCAGGCGGGGAGGGCUGGCGCACGAGGCUGCAUAUCUUUCAAUCUCUGCUAUCCUGCCUUGUUUGAAUCAGGCAAGGUCGACUAGGCACUGCUGCUUAUAAUAAAAAGGCACUUCCAAAUGCUGCUGACUCUUUUCAUGCAUCCACACGGUGGUUUUAUGGAGGGAGGGGCUUAUGAAAAACUGAAGGAACUCAGCUCCUAUGGAAAUCCCAGCUUCAGCCUCAUCAGCAUGGCAGACACCCCACCAAAACUACCAGUCUGCUGAGACAACCACCACAUCCCUUUUUUGCGUGCUGCUUGUCACCAGGAUCCUAACAAGACCCUAUUGAUGAGCACCGCCAGCAUCGCUACAGCAUCUGCAAGCGGAGAGCCAGCUCGCUGCAUCUGCAUGGGGAGCCGACAGCGCGCUCACUGCAGCAGCCUCCGGCACCGCGCCUGGCCAGGGUGAUUUAUUUGCUGCCGGUGGCUGGAUUAAACUGUUCUUUCCCUUUUGUUUUC